AAACAAGCUGGGCCAUAACUUAUUCCAUUGCUUUCUUAGCUUCUCUGCAUGAUCUCACUGGAGCACCACUGAGUGAUUUGUGAAGAACUAUAGGAGGCUUUAGCAUGCUAAGGAGAGAUGAUAUGGCCUUUCUUCAGAACCCCAGGGGCUUUCCAGAAAAUCUACAAUGAAAUAUUUCUCACCAUUGACACCAUCAGGUCUGCUAAAUCAUCUGACUGAAGAAGUAAAACUGCUUGCAUCAUAGUCUGGACCUGCCAAAGAGUACCUUUCUGCUCUAGGCUCCACUUAAAACUGGCAACCUUUUGUGUCACCUAUAGUCCAGAUCAGAAUCUCAGGACUGUUGGAUUCCAGUCAUUUUAUCUUGGAGACAAAAAAUGAAGAUAUAAUCUGAGAAUUUAGGCAUAUCUACUGAUAGCAUACAUUACCACAUUUGAAGAAAAUAUUUGAAAAAGUCUUCAAACCACCGAGCAAGAAGGGAGACCAACAUAAAGGAAAAUACAGAAAGGAAACAAUGGGGAUCUAUGUGAUAAGGCCAGUCUUCAACCUUUUAUUUCUUCCUUGAACACAAUCUCAAGAUGAAAGUUUUUUCAUGGUUUUUGUGGAAGAAUUCACCAAAGUUCUCAUUCUACCAUCCUGGAAGUCAAUCUUCACGCAGCCCUUUGUGUUUCAGUACAGCUUGUGGAGACAACAGACUCACUAGCAUAGAUAAUCUGAGGCAACUGGAUUGGAUGAGCUGAAGAAAGGCCCAUGUGUCCACCAGGAGUGUAGCAAGGAGAAGCCAAUCCAGGAAUCUCAGAAAAGAACUUGUGCACACAUCUGGCACCAUAGCUUUAGAGGCUGCCAUGCAGAGGACACAUCCCUUGAUAGGAGUCAAGAAAAAUGAAGAAAC